UAACGCCGCGUGGAGGAUGACGGCCUUCGGGUUGUAAACUUCUUUUCUGUGGGAAGAGUAGAAGACGGUACCACAGGAAUAAGCCUCGGCUAACUACGUGC
rnacentral:rRNA from 1 species